rnacentral:rRNA from 2 species
GGACUACUGGGGUAUCUAAUCCUGUUUGAUCCCCACACUUUCGUGCCUCAGCGUCAGUUAAAGCUUAGUAAGCUGUCUACACUAUCGGUGUUCUUGACGAUAUCUAAGCAUUUCACCGCUACACCGUCAAUUCCGCCUACCUCAACUUUACUCAAGUCCUGCAGUAUCAAUGCCACCCUCCCGGUUAAGCCGGGAUAUUUCAGCACUGACUUAUAGGACCGCCUACGCACCCUUUAAACCCAAUAAAUCCGGACAACGCUUGCCACCUACGUAUUACCGCGGCGGCUGGCAC